UGGCAGGGCCUUUUACAGGAACUGCACCCGCCCUGCACCUUCUCUCUGCUUGCACACACCCCUCACGAGAGCGUAACCUUCGCCGGUUGUUUCUGUUUCAUUCUGUAUAAUCCCUCCAACCGCCUGAGGCUUCACAGGCAUCGGAGAAGGGUCCAGCAAAGCCAUUUAAUACCUAACACAAGACAGGGCGGAUUUCCCACGGUGAAUUCCUCGACAGACAUCCCCCAGGGGCCUCUCCACUGAGUCCCUUCUCCACGUGACGGAGUUCAUUAUCUCUGCAGCAUGUCGGUCAAUGUCAAAGUCACACUGCGUGAAAUCCUGAGUGAUCUGAGUGAGGAAAACUUCAAAGCAUUCAAAUGGUAUCUGGUGAAUGGAGUUGAUGACAAGACAAUACGCUGUCGCUAUUUGGAAUUAGCCGACCGGGAAAAGACCGUCGAUGAGAUACUGAGCCACUUCGGCAGCUCUGAUGCCCUCGAAAAAACCAGGGAGAUCCUGGAAGCCGUACCUAGGAGAGAUCUCGCCGACAAGCUCAUGAAGAAAGUGCCAGUAGCAAAACAAGCUCAGGAGAGAAAAAAGGAGACGCUAAAGGAGCCCACAGAGGAGACGCUAAAGAAGACCACAGCGGAGGAGCGCAUGAAAGAAACAAUGACCAAUAGGAUUGCAAAUGUGAAGGGGGCUGUUGUCCGACAGGUCCUUACUGCCAGCCUCGAGACACUGAGAAAAGAUCAAUUUGAAAAGUUCAAAGAUGUUCUGUGCAAGACACCCAUGAAGGAGCUUGUGGCGGAAGGAGAUGCUUUCCUUGACGCACCCAAUACAUUCCAGAGGGACGCCAGCCUAGAAAACCUUGUCGAGGAUUUGAUAGGCAAAUUCGGCCGGACUUACGCACUGAGGGCAACUGCGACGGUGCUGGAAAAAAUAGGGAGAAGGGACCUCGCUAAAGAACUCCAGGGAGAAUUACAAGCCCUGCAAGUGACCUCUCAUGGACUGAGAAGAAAACC
rnacentral:lncRNA from 1 species